rnacentral:rRNA from 1 species
AUUACCCUAGUAACGGCGAGUGAAGCGGUAAGAGCUCAAAUUUGAAAGCUGGCCCCUUCGGGGUCCGCAUUGUAAUUUGCAGAGGAUGCUUCGGGAGCGGUCCCCAUCUAAGUGCCCUGGAACGGGCCGUCAUAGAGGGUGAGAAUCCCGUAUGGGAUGGGGUGCCCGCGCCCGUGUGAAGCUCCUUCGACGAGUCGAGUUGUUUGGGAAUGCAGCUCUAAUUGGGUGGUAAAUUUCAUCUAAAGCUAAAUAUUGGCCGGAGACCGAUAGCGCACAAGUAGAGUGAUCGAAAGAUGAAAAGCACUUUGAAAAGAGAGUUAAAAAGCACGUGAAAUUGUUGAAAGGGAAGCGCUUGCGAUCAGACUCGCUCGCGGGGUUCAGCCGGCCUUCGGGCCGGUGUACUUCCCCGCGGGCGGGCCAGCGUCGGUUUGGGCGGCCGGUCAAAGGCCCCUGGAAUGUAACGCCUCUCGGGGCGUCUUAUAGCCAGGGGUGCCAUGCGGCCUGCCCGGACCGAGGAACGCGCUUCGGCUCGGACGCUGGCAUAAUGGUCGUAAGCGACCCGUCUUGAAACACGGACCAAGGAGUCUAACAUCUACGCGAGUGUUCGGGUGUCAAACCCGUGCGCGCAGUGAAAGCGAACGGAGGUGGGAACCCUUUGGGUGCACCAUCGACCGAUCCUGAUGUCUUCGGAUGGAUUUGAGUAAGAGCGUAGCUGUUGGGACCCGAAAGAUGGUGAACUAUGCCUGAAUAGGGCGAAGCCAGAGGAAACUCUGGUGGAGGCUCGCAGCGGUUCUGACGUGCAAAUCGAUCGUCAAAUUUGGGUAUAGGGGCGAAAGACUAAUCGAACCAUCUAGUAGCUGGUUCCUGCCGAAGU